GACAGAGGGGGCAAGCGUUGCUCGGAAUCACUGGGCGUAAAGGGCGCGUAGGCGGGAUGGCAAGUCGGUCGUGAAAUCCUUCGGCUCAACCGAAGAACGUCGGCCGAUACUGCCGUUCUUGAGGGAUGCAGAGGAGAUUGGAAUUCCCGGUGUAGCGGUGAAAUGCGCAGAUAUCAGGAGGAACACCGAUGGCGAAGGCAGCUCGCUGGGACG
rnacentral:rRNA from 1 species